rnacentral:rRNA from 1 species
AUUGAACGCUGGCGGCAGGCCUAACACAUGCAAGUCGAGCGGAUGAAGGGAGCUUGCUCCUGGAUUCAGCGGCGGACGGGUGAGUAAUGCCUAGGAAUCUGCCUGGUAGUGGGGAUAACGUCCGGAAACGGGCGCUAAUACCGCAUACGGCCCUAGGGAGAAAGUGGGGGAUCUUCGGACCUCACGCUAUCAGAUGAGCCUAGGUCGGAUUAGCUAGUUGGUGGGGUAAAGGCCUACCAAGGCGACGAUCCGUAACUGGUCUGAGAGGAUGAUCAGUCACACUGGAACUGAGACACGGUCCAGACUCCUACGGGAGGCAGCAGUGGGGAAUAUUGGACAAUGGGCGAAAGCCUGAUCCAGCCAUGCCGCGUGUGUGAAGAAGGUCUUCGGAUUGUAAAGCACUUUAAGUUGGGAGGAAGGGCAGUAAGUUAAUACCUUGCUGUUUUGACGUUACCAACAGAAUAAGCACCGGCUAACUUCGUG